AACGAACGCUGGCGGCAUGCCUAACACAUGCAAGUCGAACGAGACCUUCGGGUCUAGUGGCGCACGGGUGCGUAACGCGUGGGAACCUGCCCUUAGGUUCGGAAUAACUCCCCGAAAGGGGUGCUAAUACCGGAUAAUGUCUUCGGACCAAAGAUUUAUCGCCUUUGGAUGGGCCCGCGUUGGAUUAGCUAGUUGGUAGGGUAAAAGCCUACCAAGGCGACGAUCCAUAGCUGGUCUGAGAGGAUGAUCAGCCACACUGGGACUGAGACACGGCCCAGACUCCUACGGGAGGAAGCAGUGGGGAAUAUUGGAAAAUGGGCGAAAGCCUGAUCCAGCAAUGCCGCGUGAGUGAUGAAGGCCUUAGGGUUGUAAAGCUCGUUUACCCGGGAUGAUAAUGACAGUACCGGGAGAAUAAGCGCCGGCUAACUCCGUG
rnacentral:rRNA from 1 species